AGAGCUCAACUGAAAGACGCUGGUGACAAAGACUUCGCAAAAACAAACCAAAGCUCACCAGGCCCUCCUCUCCUCCAGCGACUCACCCAGGGAAGCAGCAGUGUUCCCCUCAGAACAUGCACCCACAGAGAAGGACGUCUCAGACUGUGUCACAUCCCUCCCUCUCGGGUGUGGCCAUAAUGACCUGUGCUGCCUCAUCCUGGACCCUGGACAGAUGCACAUGAAGAUGUGCACAGAAUGCAUGGGUAGUGGGCAGUGUACUGUGCUCUCUAUUUGCUUUAGCUUAUUGACACCAUAUAACCAACCUUCCUGUGAAGUCAAGAUAUCAUCCCCACUUUCCAGACAAGGAAGCUGAGGCUCAGAGGAGUGAAACCCAAAAGAGGGGACAUGGGUUCGAUCCCUGGUCCUGGAAGAUCCCACAUGCUGCGGAGCAACUAAGCCCGUGCGCCACAACUACUGAGCCUGCGCUCUAGAACCCAUGAGCCACAACUCCUGAGCCCGUGAGCCACAACUACUGAAGCCCACAUGCCUAGCGCCUACGCUCUGCAACAAGAGAAGCCACCACAAUGAGAAGCCCACGCACCGCAACGAAGAGUAGCCCCUGCUCGCCGCAACUAGAGAAAGCCCGCGCGCAGCAACGAAGACGCAACGCAGCCAAAAAUAAAUAAAUAAAAUAAAUAGAUUUAUGAAAAAGAAAAAAAAAGACCCAAUGCAGCCAAAAAUAAAUAAAUAAAUAAAAAAUA